AUCCCUAGGUGACAGCAUCAGAGUACUCCCACAGCAACAUAAAUGUGCUGGUGCCUCCUGGACUCAUCAUGAUGGACUUGAGCAAAGCCUGUCCAGCCUUUCUUCAGGAUGUCGCGCCUAUAAACAACAACAACAAAAAUAUACAGAAAUUUACAUGCAAGAUACCACAACAAUACUCACUUUCUACACCAUUUCCAGCAGGGAUUUAAGACCUCUACCAGUCCCCCAAGAACACCCUGCUUACUCUCAGCAUAGGGACUUAUCCAUAAUGUUCUUCAGGUGGCUCUCAUCAUUAGCCAGAAUGUCUCCAGCUGAUGUAACCAAUUAAGUUAGAUUUUCUUCUAUAAAGCCCUCCACUGGAGAAUAGGGCAGCUUGAGGAAAAGUGGAAUGGUUUGAACAGGCUAAACAUUCCUAAUUUCAAGAAUCUUUGUCAGAGGGCUAAAGCCUGAAAGUGUUGUUUUAUCACAAAUAUGAAAACAUCAUAAAGAAGAUGAAAUGAAUGUCCUUGCCUGUAUUAUUCAAAUGCAAAAGAAAUACACAUAUCACAAUGAAAGGAGGCAACAACAUGGGAGUAAAUUUUCCUUUAAAUUGGAAGACACAGUGGCUUAUGCCACAAAUGAAAUAAAUUUCACAGGAGAAGAAAACAUUAUGGCUGGCUCAUCUUACAGUGGAAUCACAGUGACAUUAGCAGGAGUGCGACUGACAUAAGGCAGCAAGUUGUCCCAAUAGCUCAAACAAAAUGGGCUCAAUUUUA